CUCAGUUCUGUCUUUUUUUGCUUCCGUAAGAGGCACCACGUCAGAAAUCAUCCCUGAAUUCUGCUGCGCGCUCCAACGGGCAGUGAUACACAACAUCGGCGAGAAGGCUGCGCACGACCUCCUCGGCAAAGGUCAAGUGUUUCUCCUGGAUGUGCGAGAGACAUCUGAGUACCGGCGCGAGCAACUUGACGGCGCCCAUCUUUCUCCCCCUUGACCUCUCACGUAGAACAGGUUUUGAGCACGGGGGGGGGAGAGUAAGAACGCUACUCUCUGUGUUUACUGUUCCUUCGGAGGUUGCUUCUCGUUCGGAAGCAGUAAAGCUGUAGAGUUUCUCAAGAAGUCAAGUGCCACAUGGGGCGAUGUGACCGUGUACAACGUCGUCGGUGGCAUGCCCGCGUGACGUAUGACGGGAUAUCCCGUUCUCCAGGGUAAGAAGUCCACCCUCCCCAUCGUUUGGCAAGCUCAUCUGAAAGCCAACGCGUUGAUCCUAUCCGGGCCGCCGCUCUCACAUUUCUACCACCCCAGGUUCAUUGUUGCCCUACUCUGCGUUAGCUGCAGCCUAUUUCUCUCUGGCGCUACCGACUUUUGCGGGAUAGCGUUGCUGCUUCAGAAGCUUCCGUACAACCACUGAGGGGAUACAGCAAGGAAAGGCACUACAAAUCUGUUGAUCAUCUUGCUCUCUGCUCUCCAGAUAAAGCACGAACCACACAAUCCUUCUCUGGGUUGUGGAAACAAAACUGACUCGUGCGUAUACCUAACGCCUUCCCAUUCUUUUUUUUUGUUGCUAACUUGUUGAGCGCUCGACUUAUUGUUCCCAAAUGAAAAUCGCAACUGG
rnacentral:misc_RNA from 1 species